UUGAACGCUGGCGGCAUGCCUUACACAUGCAAGUCGAACGGUAGAGGGGCAACCCUUGAGAGUGGCGAACGGGUGAGUAAUGCAUCGGAACGUGCCCAGUCGUGGGGGAUAACGCAGCGAAAGCUGUGCUAAUACCGCGUGUGAUCUGUGGAUGAAAGCAGGGGACCGCAAGGCCUUGUGCGAUUGGAGCGGCCGAUGUCAGAUUAGCUAGUUGGUAGGGUAAAAGCCUACCAAGGCGACGAUCUGUAGCUG
rnacentral:rRNA from 1 species